UACGGAGGAUGCAAGCGUUAUCCGGAAUUAUUGGGCGUAAAGCGUCCGCAGGUGGCUGUUCAAGUCUGCUGUCAAAGCGCAGAGCUUAACUCUGUACAGGCGGUGGAAACUGAAGAGCUAGAGUAUGGUAGGGGUAGAGGGAAUUCCCGGUGUAGCGGUGAAAUGCGUAGAUAUCGGGAAGAACACCAGUGGCGAAAGCGCUCUACUGGGCCAUAACUGACACUGAGGGACGAAAGCUAGGGGAGCGAAAGGG
rnacentral:rRNA from 1 species